UCCGAAUUGGUGUAGGGGUCAACAUUGCCGCUUCUCAUUUUCGCGUUGGCAACUCUCGUCUUACGUAAUCUGUGCGCGGCAGCCCGGGGUUCGAUUCCCCGAUUCGGAA